rnacentral:rRNA from 1 species
AGAGUUUGAUCCUGGCUCAGGAUGAACGCUAGCUACAGGCUUAACACAUGCAAGUCGAGGGGCAGCAUGAUCGAAGCUUGCUUGAUGAUGGCGACCGGCGCACGGGUGAGUAACGCGUAUCCAACCUUCCCUAUAGUAGAGAAUAGCCCGGCGAAAGUCGGAUUAAUGCUCUAUGUUGUAUUUAGAAGACAUCUGAAGAAUACCAAAGGUUUACCGCUAUAGGAUGGGGAUGCGUCUGAUUAGGUAGUAGGCGGGGUAACGGCCCACCUAGCCGACGAUCAGUAGGGGUUCUGAGAGGAAGGUCCCCCACAUUGGAACUGAGACACGGUCCAAACUCCUACGGGAGGCAGCAGUGAGGAAUAUUGGUCAAUGGACGGAAGUCUGAACCAGCCAAGUAAGCGUGCAGGAUGACGGCCCUAUGGGUUGUAAACUGCUUUUAUAUAGGGAUAAAGUCGGGGACGUGUCCCCGUUUGUAGGUACUAUAUGAAUAAGGACCGGCUAAUUCCGUGCCAGCAGCCGC